rnacentral:rRNA from 1 species
UACAGAGGGUGCGAGCGUUAAUCGGAUUUACUGGGCGUAAAGCGUGCGUAGGCGGCUUUUUAAGUCGGAUGUGAAAUCCCCGAGCUUAACUUGGGAAUUGCAUUCGAUACUGGGAAGCUAGAGUAUGGGAGAGGAUGGUAGAAUUCCAAGUGUAGCGGUGAAAUGCGUAGAGAUCUGGAGAAAUACCGAGGGGAAAGGGACCGACUGGACUAAUACUGACGCUGAGGUACGAAAGCAUGGGGAGCAAACAGGAUUAGAUACCCUGGUAGUCCAUGCCGUAAACGAUGUCUACUAGCCGUUGGGGCCUAUGAGGCUUUAGUGGCGCAGCUAACGCGAUAAGUAGACCGCCUGGGGAGUACGGUCGCAAGACUAAAACUCAAAUGAAUUGACGGGGGCCCGCACAAGCGGUGGAGCACGUGGUUUAAUUCGAUGCAACGCGAAGAACCUUACCUGGCCUUGACAUACUAGAAACUUUCCAGAGAUGGAUUGGUGCCUUCGGGAAUCUAGAUACAGGUGCUGCACGGCUGUCGUCAGCUCGUGUCGUGAGAUGUUGGGUUAAGUCCCGCAACGAGCGCAACCCUUUUCCCUACUUGCCAGCACUUCGGAUGGGACCUUUAAGGAUACUGCCAGUGACAAACUGGAGGAAGGCGGGGACGACGUCAAGUCAUCAUGGCCCUUACGGCCAGGGCUACACCCGUGCUACAAUGGUCGGUACAAAGGGUCGCUACACAGCGAUGUGAUGCUAAUCUCAAAAAGCCGAUCGUAGUCCGGAUUGGAGUCUGCAACUCGACUCCAUGAAGUCGGAAUCGCUAGUAAUCGCGGAUCAGAAUGCCGCGGUGAAUACGUUCCCGGGCCU